AUACGGAGGGUGCAAGCGUUAAUCGGAAUUACUGGGCGUAAAGAGUACGUAGGUGGUUUAUUAAGUCAGAUGUGAAAGCGCCGGGCUUAACCUGGGAACUGCAUUUGAUACUGGCAAACUAGAGUAUGGUAGAGGCGGGUAGAAUUCCUAGUGUAGCGGUGAAAUGCGUAGAUAUUAGGAGGAAUACCAGUGGCGAAGGCGGCCCGCUGGACCAAUACUGACACUGAGGUACGAAAGCGUGGGUAGCGAACAGGAUUAGAAACCCUAGUAGUCC
rnacentral:rRNA from 1 species